rnacentral:lncRNA from 1 species
AGAGAGAUGCACAAAAUAUAACCAAUUAACGUAGAUCAACUUAAGGCUUACUUUCACGGGAUAUGCAACUUCAUUGUGAGAGAUAUCCACAAAUACAAAAAGAGAUCACACACUCUCAACUCUUAUACAUCAAUCUCUCAACAAAAAGCAUACAUUCCUCACAAAAAAUUCUCAAAAAAUCUUAAAGAGACACUCCAGCCA